rnacentral:tRNA from 1 species
GCAGGUGUAGCUCAGUGGCAGAGUGUGUGCUUAGUAUGUGCAAGGCCUGGGGUUCAAACCCUGCCCCUCCC